AAAGGCAAUGAUGGAAAUAGAAAAUUGCCAUUUGGCAAAUACUACAGUAAUAAUUUUUUUUAGUCAAGAAUUUAAUCAAUGAAUAUAAAAUUAGUAGGCAAAAAAGUAUUACGAGAAAUAGGUAAUUUACACAGUCUCCAGUAUCUACCCACAAGAUAUUAACUUAAAAGGGA